UGGCGUGUGGAGUGUUGACGUGAAGUGUAGCGCGGAAAGUGAAUUGCUGGUUUGUGCCUUCCAAACAUUGACACAGAAGUCUACAUGUGUGUGGUGGAAUGAAAUAAACCGUGCAAAACGUAUCAAACGAGAAAAUCUAAAUUUUAUUUGCCAUGUCUUCUUUGUUAUUUGCUGAAUUAGCGGCAACUUGCAAUGCUCUCGGCUUCUCUGAUGGUAGUAAAUACUAUCCGGAUACACACUGUAAAGAGACCGUGAGAGAUCUGAUUCGCUACCUGAGGCGUGACGAUGAAAACCACGAAAUCCGCCGACACUUGGGUGAGGCGCAAGUGCUGCAGACAGACCUCUUGCCCAUCCUCAAACAGGAGUGGAAGGAUUCUGAUCUCUUUGAUGUUGUCAUCAGGCUGCUGGUUAAUCUGACGAAUCCAGCCCUGCUCCUGUACCGGGAAGAGCUUCCUGUAGACAAGGUGUCGAGAAAUUACUACUUGCAAAUCAUAUCACAGUUACAAGCUUACAAGAAGGCUUUCACCGAUUCAGAUGUGUGGGAAGUAAUCAAGAUGAAACUCAGUAAACUCCUUGAGACGGAGUGGGAGGAGCGUGGAGAGGAGAAGAGCCUGAUGAUCGAGCGGAUGCUGAUCCUAGCACGGAACGUGCUGCAGGUGCCGGCCGAUGUUGCUGCAGAGAAGCUCUCUGAUAGUGAACCAAGUGUCCACGACCAGGUACUUUGGGCACUGCACGUCUCAGGCAUGGUCGAUAUCUUCCUGUACCUGGCCAGUUCUGAAAAUGAACAACAAUACUACAUGCAUAUUCUUGAGAUAGUUUCCCUGAUGCUGCGAGAACAGAAGCCGGACGAGCUGGCAGUCGCUGCACCUGAACGCAGCAUCGAGGAGAAGACACGGGACGAGGCGCGGCUUCUGGCAGUGCGUAACGAGGAGAUACGCCGCCGGCAGGAGCUGGAAAGACGUUUCCGAGGAGCCAGGCAUUCAAGAUUUGGUGGAACAUUUGUACUAAAGGACUUUAAGUCUAUAAGUGACCGCAAUUUGAUCUACCAUAAGCCGUUAAACAAACUUGAUGACUUAACAUUUGACCAUGAAAAGCACAAGGUAAAGACACCAAAGAAUCGCCAACCACUGAAGAGUGAAGUUGUUGAACGGAGAUCUGCAUACAGUGUUCGCCUCUUCCUAAAAGAAUUCUGUUCUGAAUUUCUGAUCGGAGCAUACAACACUCUGAUGUACCAUGUCAAAAGCAACCUGGUGCGAGCUAAAACUCAAGCAAAUGACGAGUCCUAUUAUCUGUGGGCGAUGAAAUUUUUCAUGGAGUUUAACAGGAACUACAAGUUCCAAGUGAAGCUUGUCAGUGAGACAAUGUCGGUUCAAACAUUCCACUUUGUGCAAACCCAGAUGGAAAGCUGCUACGCCAACAUGGUAUGCGACAAGAAGAAAAUUUCACUCUGGUCUCGCCGUAUGCAUGUGGCGCUGAAGGCCUACCAGGAACUUCUGAUGACCUUAAUAGCCAUGGACAAGUCUGACGAUGCAGUGGUGAGGAACUCCUCAAGAGUCAUAAAGAGCAAUAUCUUCUAUGUCAUUGAAUACCGAGAGCUCAUUUUCACAUUGCUGAUUAAUUUCUCAGAAACAAAAAUGUCAAGGGCCUACUUGCGAGACCUGGUAGUGACUGCACACAUCUUCCUCAGGAUGCUGGAGCAGUUUUCCGCAAAGGGAACAAUUGUGGUACAGAAACCAGUGAGAUCGAAGCCAAAGCGCAAGAAGAAGCCAGCGACAGUCACGGCCCCACCUGUCGAACCCAGGCCACCGGCAGAGGUCUGGGACGAAGAACUGGGGCCUCAGAUGUCUGUAGCUCUACAGCAUACAACAGAACUUCCUGUGGCAGUGCCUUUUGAUGUCGCGUCAGAAAAAGAAAUUGAUGAUCAGAAGUCUGACUGUGUGAAGAAGAUCCAGCGACUUCUUAGGCAAAGUGAAUUCGAAAUGGCCAUAGCCCUGCUCAGGGCAGCAAGGGAAGUGUGGCCAGAAAACGAUGUUUUUGGUGCAGCUAAUGCUUCACUCACUGACGAGUAUGAUAUCUUCAGGGACAUUUAUAUUGCAGACUUGAAUCAGCCGCUCGAAGAGCCAGCUAGCGAGCAACAGCCGGAGCAAAAUGAAGACGCUGACGAUGAAGAAGAUGAAGAAGAUGAUGAGGAAGAAGAUGCAGAAGACGAGGGCAGCACAGCUAUAUCAGAGCAGUCAUUUCAGUUCAUGGACUUCAUGAAAAGGUUUGCACAUCCAAAUGUGGUGCAAUCGUGCACAAUAGUGCUGUCAGAGUUUGACCGGAACACUCCGACAGUGAACCACAGUGCCCUCAAAAUCCUGCACCGCAUAGGCUGGGACUGCAAGAUGUACGUGCUCCUCUUUCAGGUGUCGCUUUUCCGCAUCUUCCAGAGAGUGCUGGACUCCAGCCAGCCUGAACACAAGGAAUUGGCAAAGUUUGCAAUUUUCAUAAUAAGAAAGUUUGCCGAAGUUGCAAAGAAUAACCCAAAAGUAUACAUGGAACUGCUGUUCUGGAAGACUUCUAAAGAGGCAUAUGAAGUUGAAUACGGCUAUGGCAGUUACCAAGACAAGUCAGCUGCAGCUAAGAAGGCAUGGUCGGAAGAGGAGGAGAAUGAGCUGCGAGUCUUGUACGAGGAGUACAUGAAAACACCAGACACCAAUGGCCUCGACGUUUUGGAUUUCAUUAUGAAGAACAUGAUAAGCCAAGAUCGUUCCCGUCGUGGAGUUACGAAGAAGAUGAGAGAGAUGGGAUUCAUUUUGCCCAAAGCUGGCAGUCGCAAGGUCGGUGGCAGUUCACGACCUCCGAAAGAGUGGUCUGAAGCUGAAGAAGCGCAGCUGAGGCAGUUUUUUGAAGAAUUCAAAGACGCUAUGGAUCCUUUGGACUGUAUAUUGGCUCGACUGGAUGUGAAGAGACCUAAGAACCGAGUAAAGGAUAAAAUAGUCGAGCUGGGUCUCGUCGCAGACAGAAAGGAGCUUCGCAAGAAACGGGCACGCAAGUCUGACGGUGCUCCUGGAAAAAGUCGUCACAAAUCAAGGAACGCGAGCAACAGUGAAGGUGAGAGUGGCAGUGACCGCACCGGCGACUCCUCCGACUCAGAGUCUGACGGCAGCAGGAGUAGGAGUGCGUCUCCACCCCCACGUGCCAAGCAGCGUCCCACAGUGCCUGCGAAGAAGCGGCAGGGGGGCCAGGCGACGGGGGCGGCGAGGAAGCCGCGCGGCACUGCGGGGAAGAGUACCAGGAAGCCGGUUGCAGUCUCUACGGCAGAGCUUGCCAGUAUACUGCGGGAUCUCGUGGAUAAAGGUAUGUCAGAGGCUCUGAAGUGGAUAUCAUCGAGCCUCGAAGAGGAAGCAGUAGACAGGGAGUCGACAGCUUCGGGUGAUGCACUUCCGGUUCCCCUGCUGCCGAUCAACGAGGCAGAGAUCGUUGCUGUCGACGACCCAACGUUCCUGAAGCUGCUGUCGGCACUCGCCCUCAAUCCUCCAGUGGAAGGGCAGGAAGUUUACUGGCGCAUUCCAGGAGAACUUAGCAGCGCUGAGUUGAGGUCGAGAAUAGCAGUGAUAAACAUGGCAGUUGAGGGGCGACUACCUCCAGAGGGUGAAAGCCAAGCGAAUGAAGAAAGUGCCGUACCAGGAAAUAGCAGGGAGGAUGGGGUGGAGGUCGACAGCCAGGAAGAUGUGGGGGCGUGGCUGGCACAGAAUGUCCUUCAGGGCUCCGGCGACGAGUCUGCAGGCGAGGAAGUAGCACCCCCACUUGUCAAUAACUACAUGACUCCCUGGAGCCAGAACAUGCGGAAAGCAGCGAGGGAGGCUGCACUGGCAGAGAAGGGGCUAAGGCCGAGUGGAAAAGAAAUUCCUUCAUCGCGUGCUGGUGGGAAGAAGACUAGAAUCCGCAUAGAAUCAGAUUCAGACUCUGAUUCUGAUGUCCCGUUAAGCAAUUUUUCUGACAGUGCUUCAGCAUUACUGUCAGGAAGAGAAGAGUCUGGAGACAUUACAAGAGACAGGGAGAACAACAAGGAAGCCUCAGGAAGCACCAAACGUCGCCAGGGUAAAAGAUCGCGACUGUCUUCAGGUUCCGACACCGCUGCCAGUGUCCCUCCAAUGGGAUCGGGAUCGAGCAGGGAGCCAGAACAGCACGAUGCGUAUGAAACUGGCAGCCAAUCGUCGAAGCAAGAUGUGAGGCACAGGAAACGCAGGAUCAGAGUAUCCUCAGAUUCGGAGACAGAAGAAGCUACACCUCUUUCCGCUUUGAUGGUACCUGGUGAAGAAUCUACUGCAGCAAAAUCUCUUGAAAGUGGUACAAAGCAGAAUGGGUUUCUAGAUUCUGAUUCGGACAGUGAUUUGCCAAGGGGUGGAGGUGAGAAUGCUACCUCUGAAACUGCUAAGAGGACAGCACAUACGGACUCUGAUGAAGAAGGUAGGCAAGUGAAGAAGGUUCGACGGGCUGUCAUAAUUGAUGAUGAUGAUGACUGAUCAAACUUGCAGAUAUUUGAACAGUGCAUUGUGACUGAUACUUAACAAGAAUUAUGACUGCAUCCAAUUAACUUCUUUGUAUUUAAAAAUUUCUAUCAUUUGCUGCAAGUAGUAUUUAUAUAUUCUGAUGAACCAAGGAAAGCAAUACUCAUGCUGCCUUGUCAUAGUAACAAAUGAUGUGUUCAGCUAUUCAGCAAGAUGCACCUUUAAUAGUUUUAAAUUUUUCUAUAAAAAUCUGUCUUAUAAUAAGAUGUCACUUCACAGAUGUCAUCACUAUUGCCUGUAAUUUUUAAUUUCCUCAUGUUGUCUGUGUUUCAUUUAAAAAAAUGAAAUAACUGUGUAAAUCAAACAGUGGUAAAUCCAGGAUUGAAUAAUGAUGGUAUUUUGAAAAGGAUAGAUUGCUACACACCAUAUAAAGGAGAUGAUGAGUUGCAGACAGGCACAACAAAAAUAGUGUUACAUGUGUGAGCUUUUAGCCAAAAGACCUCCUAAAGUAGAACACGUAUACAAUCACCCAAGCACAACUCACACACGCGUGACCGCUGUCUAUGGCCACUUGAUCACUUCAAGUUGUAAGAUUGCAAUGAUAGUUUAGGAUUCAUAUUGAUAUUUGCUAUUCAGUUUUCACUUACACCACUGCAAGUUUCUAAUUAUGCUGAUCAUCAGCUUUGUCGAUCUGGAAAUCUACAUCUACCUUGCAUGACCACACUGAGUCUAACCUCAGUGGCCAGAGACAGUGACCAGGUGUGUGCGAGUUGUGCUUGCGUGAAUGUGUGUGUUGUUUGCUUUAGAAUUAGGCCUUUUGGCCAAAAAGCUCACAUGUUUAGCUGUCUUUUUGUUGUGCCACUCAACAUCUCUAUAUGGUGAGUAGCAGUCUAUCCUCUCAAUAAUUAAUAACAGCGUCUUUUUCAAAUGACGAAAAUCAUUAUCAGUAUUAGUUUUUGGUUAACUAUCCUUACAUUUCCUGUUUAUUUACCUCAGUUUUUACCUUCGACCAUCAUACAAUAGAUGUUCUGUAGAUUUUUAUGUCAGUCGUAACACAAAUUCUUUACAGUAUUUCAGGUUCCUGUCAUGUUUUUCCUUGUGUUUUUGUAAAAUUUUAUAUGUAAACAUUUUCUGUAUGCUUUGCUUUUAACCCUCUUAGCUCUGGAUACAGACAGUAUAAAAAAAUAAAAAUUUUCUUUGGGUAUAUGUUAUAUGAAAUGCUGACAUAAUACUUCUUGCAUAUAUGUGCUGGUUCUGCCCUUGUACUUGACUCCAAGACAAAAUUUUUGUGGUGGAAUGAAGCAAUGGAAACAUGUUUUAGAUUUAUAUAUAGUUAUAUUAUCUUAAGCAUUGAUGAUGACAAUGUUGGUAUUCGGUGAUUUUUCAUGUACAACACAAAGCCAGGAAAUGUUAAUACUGUCUUAAUUACUGGCCAUUGCUUGGUACUAUUUAGUUAUUAAUUUUAAAUGUGUUUUAGUUUUAUACUGUACUUUUAAUUCAUGUUUGUUAUACUCAGUUUUUAAAUUGCAAAUAAAGGUACACUU
rnacentral:misc_RNA from 1 species